GGGGAUGACAGGCAUCGAUAGGAAACAGCAGACGAGCUGCGCAGGUCCAGUUCUUGGAAUCUGGUUAAACUUCCAAGAAUCAAAUAAGUGCCAACUUAUUUCAAAGACCGGCUUAUGCUUAUGCAUAACGCUUGUGUCGGCGCUUGAUUAGCGAUAAUCAACGCCCAUCUGUUUUGCUGACUCUCGAUAAGCAAAGCGGGUGUAAUAUAUCGAGAUAAGCGGUUCUUCAUUGGCCGAGAAGCGCUGCUCAAAACAGGCCUAAGCCAAACGCCAUUUCUCCUGAUUCAAGGUUUCUGGCUGACAACACUAAUCAGGAUAAACUUGUAGAACCAGCUCAACGCCUUCCUAUACGCGGGUUCAAAUCCCGCCAUCUCCACUA
rnacentral:tmRNA from 1 species